AUGUAUGUACAUCCAGAGAACAUGAAAAAGUGGAAGUAGCCAUACCAACUGUAAGAGGCUAAUUCAUUAAGAUGAGCUAGUAUGAGCAGGAGAGAA